rnacentral:rRNA from 1 species
CCUACGGGAGGCAGCAGUGAGGAAUAUUGGUCAAUGGGCGAGAGCCUGAACCAGCCAAGUCGCGUGAGGGAAGACGGUCCUAUGGAUUGUAAACCUCUUUUGUCGGGGAGCAAAAAGGCCUCGUGAGGCCACAAGUGAGAGUACCCGAAGAAAAAGCAUCGGCUAACUCCGUGCCAGCAGCCGCGGUAAUACGGAGGAUGCGAGCGUUAUCCGGAUUUAUUGGGUUUAAAGGGUGCGUAGGCGGACUGGAAAGUCAGCGGUAAAAUCGAGAGGCUCAACCAUAGAAUUGCCGUUGAAACUGGGAGGCUUGAGUAUGUUUGAGGCAGGCGGAAUGCGUGGUGUAGCGGUGAAAUGCUUAGAUAUCACGCAGAACCCCGAUUGCGAAGGCAGCCUGCCAAGCCAUGACUGACGCUGAUGCACGAAAGCGUGGGGAUCAAACAGGAUUAGAUACCCUUGUAGUC